AUGAACGCUGGCGGCGUGCCUAAUACAUGCAAGUCGCGCGAACGGACGAGAAGCUUGCUUUUCUGAUGUUAGCGGCGGACGGGUGAGUAACACGUGGAUAACCUACCUAUAAGACUGGGAUAACUUCGGGAAACAGGAGCUAAUACCGGAUAAUAUUUUGAACCGCAUGGUUCAAAAGUGAAAGACGGUCUUGCUGUCACUUAUAGAUGGAUCCGCGCUGCAUUAGCUAGUUGGUAAGGUAACGGCUUACCAAGGCAACGAUGCAUAGCCGACCUGAGAGGGUGAUCGGCCACACUGGAACUGAGACACGGUCCAGACUCCUACGGGAGGCAGCAGUAGGGAAUCUUCCGCAAUGGGCGAAAGCCUGACGGAGCAACGCCGCGUGAGUGAUGAAGGUCUUCGGAUCGUAAAACUCUGUUAUUAGGGAAGAACAUAUGUGUAAGUAACUGUGCACAUCUUGACGGUACCUAAUCAGAAAGCCACGGCUAACUACGUG
rnacentral:rRNA from 1 species